AACCUCCAGAUACAUCGCCCCUCGGCUCUAAAUGUUGGUCUGAGUGGCUAACGAAGGAAGAAAAGUAAAACUGAAGUGGACUUCGAGUCUUCAGUGAAGUACAAGUUCAUAAAAAGUGGU
rnacentral:snoRNA from 1 species